GGGAGAAAGGGCAGAAGCCAGAGAGUUUGGAAAUGAACCUUCCUCAGAGCACAAACCAGAUUUCCCCAAAGCCCUGCAGGAAAUUCUGCUCAAAAAGAAGUUUAGGAACUGCAGAGAGAGAAUUUGGUCACUAAACCCACACCAAAAUCCUGCAGGCCCAGUAAUGGAGAAUUCCUAUUGAUUCCUAUUUGGGUGCCAAUAAAUCCCAUUAAAGCUGGAGAACAACUGGACCCCACUCCUUGUGCUCGCCCUGAAAAGCAUUGCUGCAAACAAGAAACAGAAAAGCUAAAUGAGCUCCAGGAUUCCUGAAAACUCAUAUUUUUUUUCCCCCUUUUAAUAAUGCAGAAACCCAGUUCCAUUCUAAAUAGAGAAAGUGCUGAUUCCAUUCACACCCCAGCAUUUGAGUGGGAAAAUGAGAUUUAAUCUAAGAGGGGAAGAUGCUGAAAGACAGAAAGUUCAUAACAAAUAACUCAGUGCAAGGCUUGGUAAUUAAACAAUUUCACAGCAACAUUUGCUCUGGGUGUUUUCUGUGAAGGAAAAUGAGUUGUUUAUGAAAAUGAAACCCAUUAUUUAUCCACAGCAACUUCAAAUAACUUCUUUGCUGUUAAAUAUAUUUAACUCUGCAAUUUAAUGCUGGACUGAAUUGCCCUGUCUGGGUUUGCUGUGGUUCUCAUUUG